CCCAAAUCCAGUUUCAUUUUGCAGUCACUUAUUUCCUUUACCCAAUCACUUACUCUUCAUUAAGUGGGAAGAAAGAAGCUAAUUUGCAAAUGCUGUUAAUUGAAUGGGUCAUUAAUUGCUCAAAUGGUUAGUGGAAAUUUUGAAUUUUUUUUUUCCUGAUCGCCACCAGAUGGACAUAAUUUCCCAACUACAAGAACAUUUGAAUACGAUGGCAUCACUUGCAUUCAAUACCUUUGGGACACUUCAAAGGGAUGCCCCUCCUGUUCGUCUGUCACCUAAUUAUCCAGAGCCUCCUAUUACUAAGGCCGCAGAAGAUGAUGCUGCUGAUCUUGCAGAGCAACCCAAACUCAUGAGUGCCGACUUAGUGAAAGCUGCCAAGCAGGUUUGUUGAUUAGUCCUAAUUUGUGUGUGUGUGUGUGUGUAAUCGCUUAGGUUUUAAUCAUUUAGUGAAAAUAUGGAAGAUGCGUCCACAAAUCUGUUGUAUUUUCAUUUUUUUUGUAAAACCGAGAUGGCUUGUUUCGGGAAUUAUUUUUGAACUGACUGAUCUUUGUGCAGUUCGAUGCAUUGGUUGCUGCACUUCCAUUAUCUGAGGGAGGGGAAGAAGUUCAAUUGAAAAAAAUUGCAGAACUCCAGGUUCGAGUUACGAGUUCUUUAUCUUCAUUGCCAAUUACUUGAUAUAGUACUAACUCAUUUAGCUCCUAAAUUUGGAGGGGCAAAAAGGCAUUCAAGUGAAAAAAUGUAGCUGCUAGGUUUUGGUAUUUUGAUGAGAAUUGAAAUUUUCUCAAAAGUUGGAGACAUGAUAACUGGUUAUUGUCAAGGUUGCUGAUAUUAUCCCUAAUCUAACAAUGUUGUAAAGGCUGAAGAUGAACAAUCUCCUGAUAAUUGUUUUUCAUUUUUGUCGAUGUUGGGUAAUAUACAUUUCAUAGAGAUGUCCAAAUCUCUCUUUUGUUCAUGUAAUUGGUAAGUAUUAUCAAGCUUCACUAAUCUAAAAAAGAAUCUCUCGGCAGGCUGAAAAUGACGCAAUAGGCCAAGAACUUCAAAAGCAAUUAGAAGCUGCAGGUAAGAUCUUCAAACUUGGCGUUAGUGUGAUAAGAAUUACAAAUUCCGCCAGGCUAAGAUUCUACUGAAUAGUUAUUCUAAGACCUGAAACUUGAUGCUUCAUGUAAUGGUAUCUCCUUUUGUCAAUAGAUUAAUAACUACACAUGUAGAGUUGCAUGCCUAUGCUGAAAUUACGUGUGAGCAAAUGGUUUAUAUGGUACGUUUCAUAUUGGUUUGGAUUUUUGGGUUUUAUAGGAAGCAUACGAGCUGAAUUUUGUUACCUAAACGGUUAAACCUAACUGAACUUUAAAAAAUUGCCUGGUUCAGUUCAACGUAAUUUUCUCCUGUUUUUCCUUAAAGAAAGUAAUGUUCAAGUACUCUCCAAUUCCAAAGCCCCAUACCCUUUUGCCCCUGCCACAGGCCUCAAUAGCGCCUGACCGUAAUCUUCUUCAACUCUUUCUAUAUAAACUCAUAAUUUAGUACCAUCUGUUGAUUACUUGGUUUGUUUCAGAAUCUAACUGAACCAGAACUAUAUUUGUUUAUUUGGUUCAAACUUAAGGAAACCAUACUGUAAAAACUAAAUAAGGAAAAAAAGAAAGUAUUCAGUUUUAUAUUAAGUUGUGCUCAAUCUUAGCUGAAACUAUGUUGCUGAUGUGCCAGAAAAAGAACUAAAGCAGGUACAGGAGUUGUUCAGCCAAGCAACGGAUAACUGCUUGAACUUGAAGAAACCAGACUGAUGCAACGGAUACCCCAACUGGAUGACCAAGAAAAUAGAGCGGCGGUUUCACUCGUCUCUGUACCGCAGUAUAUGUUCUUGGUCAGUCAGUUUCAUGAUUAUCUAUUGAAACUGUCCUAACUGAGAAGCAUAGUUCUCCGUAAUGUGAUAAGCCUUAAACCAUAUGAUGAAGCGCUAGUUACUUGAACUUUCAGAUUUGUUAUUACACUGAACCUAUAUCGGAACUCUGAUGAUUCUUCUACACAUUAGUCCAUGGAUUAGCAUCGUCCAAAUCAGUGAUUGUUGCAACGGCUAUUCAGAGGUUGCACCAAAUCCCC
rnacentral:lncRNA from 1 species